rnacentral:rRNA from 1 species
CAAUAGCGUAUAUUAAAGUUGUUGCGGUUAAAAAGCUCGUAGUUGGAUUUCUGCUGAGAACGACCGGUCCGCCCUCUGGGUGUGUAUCUGGCUCUUUCUUGGCAUCUUCUUGGUGAACGUUGCUGCACUUGACUGUGUGGAGCGCUACCCAGGACUUUUACUUUGAGGAAAUUAGAGUGUUUCAAGCAGGCAUACGCCUUGAAUACAUUAGCAUGGAAUAAUAAGAUAGGACCUCGGUUCUAUUUUGUUGGUUUCUAGAGCUGAGGUAAUGAUUAAUAGGGAUAGUUGGGGGCAUUCGUAUUUAACUGUCAGAGGUGAAAUUCUUAGAUUUGUUCAGGACGAACUAGUGCGAAGGCAUCUACCAAGGAUGUUUCCAUUAA